UACAGAGGUGGCAAGCGUUGUUCGGAUUUAUUGGGCGUAAAGGGUCCGUAGGCGGUUUGGAAAGUCAGAUGUGAAAGCCCACAGCUCAACUGUGGAACUGCAUUUGAAACUUCCAGACUAGAGUAUGAGAGGGGUUAAGGGAAUUCCCGGUGUAAGGGUGAAAUCUGCAGAGAUCGGGAGGAACACCAGUCGCGAAGGCGCUUAACUGGCUCAUUACUGACGCUCAGGGACGAAAGCUAGGGUAGCAAACGGG
rnacentral:rRNA from 1 species